rnacentral:rRNA from 1 species
CCUACGGGUGGCUGCAGUGAGGAAUAUUGGUCAAUGGGCGGAAGCCUGAACCAGCCAAGUAGCGUGCAGGAUGACGGCCCUACGGGUUGUAAACUGCUUUUAUACGGGAAUAACGCGCCUUACGUGUAGGGCUUUGCAUGUACCGUAUGAAUAAGGACCGGCUAAUUCCGUGCCAGCAGCCGCGGUAAUACGGAAGGUCCGGGCGUUAUCCGGAUUUAUUGGGUUUAAAGGGUGCGCAGGCGGGAGAUCAAGUCAGCGGUAAAAUGUCGGGGCUCAACCCCGGCCGGCCGUUGAAACUGGUUUUCUAGAGUUGGAGAGAAGUAUGCGGAAGUCGUGGUGUAGCGGUGAAAUGCAUAGAUAUCACGAAGAACUCCGAUUGCGAAGGCAGCAUACCGGCUCCAUACUGACGCUGAGGCACGAAAGCGUGGGGAUCGAAUAGGAUUAGAUACCCGAGUAGUC